CCGCCAUCUUUGUUUCUCAUACAAAAUGCAAUAAAUCAAAAACCUUCAGCUCCAUUACUGCUGCUAUGGCCACAAUAGCACAAAGAAACCUCUCAAUUUUCUAUGCUAAAAAAGAAAAAGUAACGAAAACAAGAGCUAGAACCUAACGACUCUUCUUCAGAUUUUGGACCCUCUCUCUUUCUCUCAAAUGAAAAACCAGCAGACACAUACAAAGAAAGAGAUCACAUUUUCCCUUCUUCGAGGACGCCUCCCCUCCUUCUGACUUCACCUUCUUUGUGUUCUCAACUGAAAAGAAACAAACACACAAAAUUUAAAGAGCAUAAGAUUGGGGGUGGGGAAAAACAGAGAGAGCACACAAAAAAUAGAGGCUAAAGCGAGUGAGUAAGAGAGAUCAAAAUCACCACUGUUGGCCACCAUUAUUUGCUGAAACUGUUUGGUUUCAAUUGGAAACCUUCAGAUCUGCUUAAACUGACUAGAGAAAGGAAAGAAAAAAAGAAGACCUCGCCUCUGUGUAAAGAUUGAGUUUGAAAUGUAAGGAAGGACUGUGUUUUGGUGAUAAUUAGGUCGGUAGCUAGCCUUUUAAUUAGUUUUGGGCUACAAAAUAUAUACUGUAAUUUUGUGGCUAGCGGCUGAUAUUAGUUUCUAGCUGCUGGCCAUAAAUGAAGUUUGCUCGUUUAAAAAAGGAACCUUGUAAUAUCGUCAAAACAAAGCACAAGUGGGCCUGGCAGGCCCAAACCAUGCCCUGCAGCUUUGGGACUCAAGUUGAGUCUUAAGCAAUAUCUUAAUUGGACUGUCAAUUGGCCCAGUUAUUUACAAAUCACGGGCAAUCACCAAAAGACUAAUGUCUGAAUUUGAAUGGAAAAUACAACAAAUUGUAAGAAUUAAGCUGGUACUAAUGAAUUGCUACUUCACGGGACCCAGGAGUCGAUUGCACCCUUUUUUAUUUUUGAACUUUAACUACCAAUUACAUCACAUUACCAAAUUGAGAUAAUCAACAUCAACCACAGGAAAAUACAAUUUCCAACAGUAAGAGCAGUAGGAAACAGCCCAGAGAAUGAAGUACAGCCCAGAAAAGAUUUGAAAUCAGCCAAAUGAGAGGUCAGACCCGAACCAGUUCCAAAACAGACCAAAAAUCUCGAAUAUUACUCAGAAUACACUCACACUUCCAGCAGAAAUCCAAGCUCGAUCACAACCUAGUUCAAUUGGACUCAAACCAACCCAAAAUCAAUUUGUAUACCUAUGAGACCUCAAACACCAAAUUUGAAAUAGGAAAACUUGAGAUUAAACUUGAGAUAUCAAUGGAACAGUAACUUGUUUGUGGUUUUUUUUUAUGAGAUUUCCUAUGGUUUUUUUUGGGGAUUUCUAUAGAGAACUAAACAAACUCUAAACUUGAAGUUUGUAAGUUGGAUCAGAUCUUCUAAGGGAAUUUGAUGGCUGAAAAAGAAGACCCCUCCUCAAGGCAUUUUGAUGCCCUUUUAUAGGCAACCAAGAGUGAGCCUCAAAUUUUAGUUUUCCCUUUAGGUUCCUCAUUUAAUUUCAACUCUAGUCCCUUAGUUUUUUAACUUAUUCUGCAAGCUAACACCCAGUUUUACUGACUUUCACUUUGAACCCCUUCUAGAAUAUCCUAGUGAAUUCUAGCUUCCUCUAUUCUAUUCUAAACUAACCUGGAAUUUAAUUUUUUAUUUCUGAAUAUUGCUAACCUAGAUUAACAGAAUUUGCUAAUUAUCACCUCAAAAGUACUAACCAAACAAACUAACCAUCCUUGAAUACUAACUAAUUAAAACCUCAUAAUGAAUUAAAACCAAUAAUGAACCCAGAAUUAUUGACAUUGAAUUAAUCAGGACAAAACUAACAAUGAAAGUCAAAUAGAAAGAUGACUGAUUAUCCAACUUAAACAGACUAACUAAACCUAGACAAAUAAACAACUAAGCACAAAAUCAGAAGAGAAUUAACAACAAUUAACACACACUAAACUGGGAAUUAACACAGCAAAAUAAGAGAAAUACACCAGGAAAGGACUCACUGAUAUUGAAACGACUUUAACAAAAGGAAAUCUGGCUAAAUGAAAAUUUCACUUCGGCCAUCUCCGGUGACAUUCAAACUUUUUGACACUGAAUUCCUCAUGAGGGCAGCCCAAGAACCUUAUUGUACUAAUUUGGCAAGGAUUGGAUUAUUUAGGAUUUUGGCCGGAAAGUUUAAAAAUGUCAUUCGAACGGUUCCAGCCACAUUCGAGACGUGGGGUUAAGGGGAAUAGAUAGAGGAUGGGGAGAGGAAGCUAUGUUGUUAAUCUGGUGUCAAUUGGACGUGGUGACGUCGUGGCUGGAAAAUGUUCCAACGGAUAUUCGACGAGCUCUGGUGAGAUUUGAGGGAAACCAAUGGCAUGGUUAGAAAGAGGGAUUCAUGGGGAAUUUGUGGUGUGAAUUUUGUGGCCGUUGGCGUAGAUGGUGUUCGCCGGCGGCGGCUCCUCCGGUGAAGAUACAAAGAUGGUACGAGGAGGA
rnacentral:lncRNA from 1 species